rnacentral:lncRNA from 1 species
GGAACUGGGCAGGCCUGGUGGCUCCUGCCCAGAUCUGCCAUCAAGUGCCUGGAUGAGUCUCUGUCCCUUUCUGGGCCUCAGUUUCCCCAUUCCUAAAAUGGACCAGAUGACCUCAAACUGUUGCCUAGGCCAGCUUUGGCAUUCUCUCCCUUUCAGGGAGGGUUGAAGUGCUAUUAUUAGCACGUGAAUGCCUCUGAGAAGUCCUGCAGUAAAGAAAACCCAGUGAGUGGUUAACUGGAAAAGGUGACCAGCAAAAAUAGUUACCUAAUGGUUUGCAAGGAUUUCACGAAUAUGAACUUGGAUUGAGUGCCCUGUCGGUAAGUCAGUCAGUUGACAACUAUUUAUUAAUAGGCCCUUUGGGAGAUGAAAAAUGAACAAGACAUAACCCUGUCUUUGAGUAGCUCCUUGUCAGGGAAGAAGGUAGCCAGGUGGAAGAGAAUAACCACAUCAGGUGGUCACUGCAUGAAGGAGACCAGCCGGGGAGCUUGAGGUGCCAGGAGAGAACAGAUAUCUUACCCUGCCUAGGGGUCAAGGGAAGCAUGGCAGACGCAGUGACAAUCAAAUGGGAUCUUGAAGGAUGAGUAGGAGUUUUUCAGGAAGAGAAUUGGUGGGGAAGGGCAGUCCCAGUGAUUGAGGGGAACAGCAUAUACAGGUGAUCCCCAACUUAACAAGGGAUCAACUCACAAUUUUUCGACUUUACGAUGGUGCCAAAGUGAUAUGCAUUCAGCAUACUCCUUGACUACAAAGGGGUUACGUCCAGGUAAACCCACUGUUAGAAUAAGUUGGAAAUGCGGUAAGUUAAAAGCGUAUUUUUGCUGGGUGCUGUGGCUCACACUUGUAAUCACAGCACUUUGGGAGGCCAAUGUGGGUGGAUCGCUUGGGCCCAGGAAUUUGAGACCAGCCUGGGCAACAUGGCAAAACCCUAUCUCUACAAAAAAUACAAAAAUUAGCCAGGCAUGAUGGUGCACACCUGUGGUCACAGCUACUUGGGAGGCUGAGGCAGGAGUAUCACUUGAGCUCAGGAGGUGGAGGCUGUAGUGAGCCGUGAUCUCACCACUGCACUUCAGCCUGGGCAACAGAGUGAGACCUUAUCUCUAAAAACAAAACAAAACAAACAAAACCAACCAACUGAACAAACAAACAAAAAAAUGCACUUUUGACUGGCUUACAAUGAUAUUUUCAACUUACAAUGGGUUUAUCAGGACUUAACCACAUUGUAAGUCAAGGAGCAUCCGAACAAGUCUGAACGCAGUCUUGCUGUUCAGGGGAAUGGAAGGUUCAGUGUGGUUGGCACAGAGAGAAGUAGAGGCUGGAACAAGAUAGUGAAAGGCCUUGAAUGCCACACCAAGGAGUUUGAACUUUAUUCUGGUGUACCAGAAGGGAAAACCUAGAGGCCAGGAGUGCAGAGAGGAGGCUGGUACAGCCAUCUGGGCCAGACCAGAGGGGGUCUGACUGCACUGAACAAAUGGUACAUCCGUCAGGGCUCAUGGGGUUGCAGGAAAUCCAGCACUGAGAGACCUAAGUGAAGAAGAAAAGGGCCUUUAGGUGUGGUUGAAUCCAGGGGCUCAAAGGGUGUUGUCAGAAAUCUUUUUUUCUGAGAUGGAGUCUCGCUCUGUCACCCAGCCUGGAGUACAAUGGCGUGAUCUUGGCUCACUGCAACCUCUGCCUCCCAGGUUCAAGUGAUUCGCCUGCCUCAGCCUCCCGAGUGGCUGGGAUUACAGGCAUGCUCCACCACACCCAGCUAAUUUUUGUAUUUUUAGUAGAGACGGGGUUUUGCCAUAUUGGCCAGGCUGGUCUCGAACUCCUGACCUCAGGUGAUCCACCUGCCUCGGCCUCCCAAAGUGCUGGGAUUACAGGCGUGAGCCACCGCACCCGGCCGGUGUUCUCAGAAAUCUGGUCACAAUCACGGUGGUUGGGGCAUGGGAUGUUUUCAGUGGCCUAGUCAUUCAAUGCUUUCAGUGGUCAGGUCAGUAUGGCUCCAGCAACAUGCUCUGAAUAUGAAGGAGGUGGUUUCUCAAAGGGAUUUCAAGAUGCUGUUACCAGGAGAAGAAAGUUGCUAUGCAGGUAAAAGCAGCAGCCCUUCUUGGUGGAUGGCGAGUGCUGCGGACUUGAGAGGAGGAUGGGCACUUUCCCAGCCCAGGCGCCCGGCGGUUCUGAGGCUGAGGCAUGUAACUCAGGGCUGGUGUGGUCAGGGCAGGCUUCACGGAGGAAAUGGCCUAGAAGGAAGACCUGAGCAAUCAGGUAGGGUCUGGGUAGACAGAGUGGGCAUUGCAGGAGAAGGGGCCAAGAGAACAGAGGUGCAGAGGUGAGAAUGAGCCGUAAGUGUUUGGCUGCCUGUGCCAUGCCAGGUCCAGAGAGCUGGUAGAGGGAGGUGAGGCUGAAGCUAGAUGUUAGAGGUUCUCGAAGGCCAAGCACACUCUGGCCUGACUAGCAGUCCUCUUACAACAUAUAGGUCAGGGGGAAACAGUGGCUUCAUUGCUCAGCAGCCUCCCAUGGCUCCCCAUGUCCCACCAGGGAGGCCCAAGGCUUAGCCAAGCAUUCAAAGCCCCAGCAUGCCCACUGCUGGGCCCUGGUGCUCUCCUAGGUGGGCAUGCCCGCCACAGUGCAAACAGAUUGCUCCCUUUUCCCUCCAG